rnacentral:rRNA from 1 species
GACGAACCGUGCGAACGUUGUUCGGAAUCACUGCGUUAAAGGGCGCGUAGGCGGCGCGGUAAGUCACUUGUGAAAUCUCUGAGCUUAACUCAGAACGGCCAAGUGAUACUGCAGUGCUAGAGUGCAGAAGGGGCAAUCGGAAUUCUUGGUGUAGCGGUGAAAUGCGUAGAUAUCAAGAGGAACACCUGAGGUGAAGACGGGUUGCUGGGCUGACACUGACGCUGAGGCGCGAAAGCUAGGGGAGCGAACGGG